rnacentral:rRNA from 1 species
CUGGAAAUAGCUCCAUCGCUAGAUCGUACCCUAAACCGACACAGGUGGACUGGUAGAGAAUACCAAGGCGCUUGAGAGAACUAUGUUGAAGGAACUCGGCAAAAUACCUCCGUAAGUUCGCGAGAAGGAGGCCCAGUUUCUACGCAAGUAUUGGCUGGGGGCACAAACCAGGGGGUGGCGACUGUUUAUUAAAAACACAGGGCUCUGCGAAGUCGCAAGACGACGUAUAGGGUCUGACGCCUGCCCGGUGCCUGAAGGUUAAAAGGAGGGGUGAGAGCUCUGAAUUGAAGCCCAGGUAAACGGCGGCCGUAACUAUAA